rnacentral:rRNA from 1 species
CCUACGGGAGGCAGCAGUGAGGAAUAUUGGUCAAUGGACGAGAGUCUGAACCAGCAAUGUAGCGUGCAGGAUGACGGCCCUAUGGGUUGUAAACUGCUUUUGUACGGGGAUAAACCCCGAUACGUGUAUCGGUUUGAAAGUACUUUACGAAUAAGGAUCGGCUAACUCCGUGCCAGCAGCCGCGGUAAUACGGAGGAUCCGAGCGUUAUCCGGAUUUAUUGGGUUUAAAGGGUGCGUAGACGGUUUGAUAAGUUAGUGGUGAAAUGUUGGGGCUCAACCGCGAAACUGCCUUUGAUACUGGUGGACUAGAGAAUAGUUGCGGUAGGCGGAAUGCAUGGUGUAGCGGUGAAAUGCUUAGAGAUCAUACAGAACACCGAUUGCGAAGGCAGCUUACCAAACUAUAACUGACAUUGAGGCACGAAAGUGUGGGUAGCAAACAGGAUUAGAUACCCCAGUAGUC